CCUACGGGAGGCAGCAGUGAGGAAUAUUGGUCAAUGGGCGCUAGCCUGAACCAGCCAAGUAGCGUGAAGGAUGACUGCCCUAUGGGUUGUAAACUUCUUUUGUAUGGGAGUAAAGUGCAGUAUGUAUACUGCUUUGCAUGUACCUUAUGAAUAAGGAUCGGCUAACGCCGGGCCAGCAGCCGCGGUAAUACGGAGGAUCGGAGCGUUAUCCGGAUGUAUUGGGUUUAAAGGGAGCGUAGGCGGGUUGUUAAGUCAGGUGGGAAAGUUGGCGGCUCAACCGUAAAAUUGCAGUUGAUACUGGCAUCCUUGAGUACAGUAGAGGUAGGCGGAAUUCGUGGUGUAGCGGUGAAAUGCUUAGAUAUCACGAAGAACUCCGAUUGCGAAGGCAGCCUGCUGGACUGUAACUGACGCUGAUGCUCGAAAGUGUGGGUAUCAAACAGGAUUAGAUACCCCAGUAGUC
rnacentral:rRNA from 1 species